rnacentral:rRNA from 1 species
AACGAACGCUGGCGGCACGCUUAACACAUGCAAGUCGAACGGAUUUUAGAUUUCGGUCUAAAGUUAGUGGCGAACGGGUGAGUAACACGUGGGAACCUACCCUGCAGUAGGGAAUAACUUUGGGAAACUAAAGCUAAUACCUUAUGCGCCCUUUGGGGGAAAGGAUCAUAAUUUGCAGUUUAUAGUUUUGAAUUGUUAGUAAGUUAAUUUAAUGAUGUGUAUGUGUCGUUAAGAUUAUUGGCUAAAGAUUUAAAACUGUAAACUGUUGGUUAGAUUCGCUGUAGGAUGGGCCCGCGCAAGAUUAGGUAGUUGGUGAGGUAAGAGCUCACCAAGCCGACGAUCUUUAGCUGGUCUGAGAGGAUGGUCAGCCACACUGGGACUGAGACACGGCCCAGACUCCUACGGGAGGCAGCAGUGGGGAAUAUUGGACAAUGGGGGCAACCCUGAUCCAGCGAUGCCGCGUGAGUGAAGAAGGCCUUCGGGUUGUAAAGUCUCUUUUGGUCAGGGAAGAUAAUGACGGUA